AGAGUUUGAUCCUGGCUCAGGAUGAACGCUGGCGGCGUGCCUAAUACAUGCAAGUCGAACGAGGUGCUUUUGUAGCAAUACGAGAGUAUCCUAGUGGCGAACGGGUGAGUAACGCGUUGGUGACCUACCCCAAAGUGUGGGAUAACAGUCCGAAAGGACUGCUAAUACCGCAUGUGGUCAUUGGGUUUAGAAACCGGUGACUAAAGGAGCAAUUCGCUUUGGGAGGGACCUGCGUCCCAUCAGCUAGUUGGUGAGGUAAUGGCUCACCAAGGCGACGACGGGUAGGGGACCUGAGAGGGUGACCCCCCACAAUGGAACUGAAACACGGUCCAUACACCUACGGGUGGCAGCAGUAGGGAAUAUUGCUCAAUGGGCGAAAGCCUGAAGCAGCAACGCCGCGUGUGUGAUGAAGGCCUUCGGGUCGUAAAGCACUUUUCUGGGAGAUGAGAAAGGACAGUAUCCCAGGAAUAAGUCUCGGCUAACUACGUGCCAGCAGCCGCGGUAAUAC
rnacentral:rRNA from 1 species